rnacentral:rRNA from 1 species
UACGUAGGGUGCAAGCGUUUGUCCGGAAUUAUUGGGCGUAAAGAGCUCGUAGGCGGUUUGUCGCGUCUGCUGUGAAAACUCGGGGGCUUAACCCCGGGCCUGCAGUGGGUACGGGCAGACUAGAGUGCGGUAGGGGGAGACUGGAAUUCCUGGUGUAGCGGUGAAAUGCGCAGAUAUCAGGAGGAACACCGGUGGCGAAGGCGGGUCUCUGGGCCGUAACUGACGCUGAGGAGCGAAAGCUGGGGAGCGAACAGG